rnacentral:tRNA from 4 species
GCCCGAGUGGUGAAAUUGGUAGACGCGACGGAUUCAAAAUCCGUUUCCGAGAGGAGUGACGGUUCAAGUCCGUCCUCGGGCACCA